rnacentral:rRNA from 1 species
GUGCAUGAUAAGGGCGGAUCAACUUGGUGGGUUAUGGUGGUGUACGGCCUGCAAGGUGAGGGUCCCAAAUCUCAAUUUCUCUGUGAUCUUCAUGCCCUGCGUGCGGCCUGCCCUGGGCCAUGGAUGGUUUUGGGGGAUUUUAACAUGAUCCUUCAGGCGGAUGACAAGAGCAAUAAUAACAUCAACAGACGCAUCAUGAGGAGAUUUAAGGAGUUCGUGGAUAACAAUGAACUUAAGGAGGUUUACAUGCAUGGCCGAAGAUUCACGUGGACUAAUGAAAAGGAACAACCAGUGAUGACGAAGAUUGAUCGUGUGUUGGUGACUGUGGACUUGGAGCUCUCUCACCCGGACGUCCUCCUCCAAGCUUUAUCCACCAACAUAUCGGACCAUGGCCCGCUCCACCUGUCUACUUCAGCUCCUUUCUACCACAAGAGAAGAUUCUAUUUUGAGAUGUACUGGACCAAACUGGAGGGGUUUGAUCAAGCUGUUCGGGAUGCAUGGGAUAUGCGGUGA